CAUGUUUUUCUUGCAUUAUAGCUCAAUAAAUGCAGGAAAGUGCAACAAAAUUUAACAUAAUAUUUGGAAAUAAUAUUUUAUUAUAAUAUUUACAAAAUCGGUUUAUCAGGUUUAUUUAAAAGUCUUUAAAGGGGGUCUUCUUUAACGAGUCUCAUUCAGAUCUUAAUUGUCUCAUUUGUCAUUAACCUCUUCUUUUUAUUUAUUUAUUUUUUGCUUGUUACAGUUUGAUGAAUGCAUGUUUAGCUGUCUGCUCACCCUGGACCUCACCCCAUACUUACUCAAUGACGAGAACACCACAGACAGAGAGAAGGACAAAUGAUGGGUUGGUGGCAGAUAGUGCAGGAUUAAAUGUUCAUUGUUAAAGGCAAACCAGCUAAAAGUGUCUAAAAGAUUGAAUGUUGGACUGUUAAAUUUAAAUGUCUAAAGAUCUCAUCAUUUAACAGGUUUGAGCUGUUUUUUUAAAAUUACAUUUUGUAUUGACAUUUGAAUGUUUAAGAGGUUGUUGUGUGAUGCAACUUUAAAAGUGUUUCAUGUUAAAGCAGUUUUAUGUGUUAUUGUUAAAUGCCAGUUUGCAUUUGUUCAGUGUGGAAAGUCAUUUUAAUACAUUUUUAUUGAUGCAUUUGUGAAGAGUUUUGUCAUUCUUCAUUAGCAGUUGUGCAAACUGUACACUUUGACCUGCCUCUGUCACAAGGGUGGGGUUUCAGCAAAACAUCCGCCUCUGUUAUUCUAUUCUCUCUUUGUCCCUGCUUCUCUUCUCAUCUCCUCAAAUAUAAAGCUUUGCUUUCCUUAGCAACUCUAAUGGCAUCUUACACAGUGGUCAUUGUCCCUCUCAGGAACAGUCCUAACAGUCUGGAUGCAUUGCAGUUCUUCCUCUGGGUGAAGAAGAUGAAGGACUUGGAGAGGGAAAAGGACUUUUUGUGGAUUGGAUUGCAGGCUUUAGAGCAGGUGCGAGAGAAGUUAUGCUACAACCUAGAAGACAACAUGGAAGUGCAAGACCAAUUCAAGAAAGGAGAGAUGAGAAAAGUGUUUCUAGACACCCCCACCCUACUGUUGGCUCAGAUCCACAGAGUGAACAGGACCUUAAGGAAUCUACUUUGUGACUCCAGGAAUCCCACUGAUCCUGCAAUAGAAGGUACUGAAGGACACCAGCCCUCUCCUACCUGUUCAGAAGAAAGUGCUAGUUUUUAAACAGCUAUUUGUUUUGAAGUUCUGUACUCCAUUUUCCUGUAUUUUGUGCUUGUAGAAUGUAUUCUGAGUGGACUGAAAUAAUAAUUUUCUGUGCAAUAAAUAAAAAAUUGCCUACUUGAUUAGAUUUCCA
ensembl:lncRNA